CAUCGCUGCCUCCAGGAAGCCUUCCCAGUGCCCUAAGUAUGAUUAAGACGCGUCCUUGACACCCUGCACGUACAUCCUUAUGGAGCAAAGGGGAGCCACUUAGAAGCAAAGGGUCUGUAAGCAGACUUGUCACUUGGAGAGGUUACGCCGACGGCUUUGUGGAGAACCCAGUCGGGGUGGAGGACAAGCGUGAGAACAGAGUCUGAGGAGCCCGUUGUGGUCACCCAAGUGACCACACAAUGACAUUUUCGAAGUGAACACGGGCAGUGGCAGGAACAUGGGGGGAGGAGUGGGCAGAAACCCAGAGGCAGGCCUUCCACAGCUGGUACCAUCACGUUUCUGCAGCAUUACCAGGCACCCAGCGCCUCUUUUCCUCCUCAUACACAUGCUCCUGAAGUGGUUGCCCCACCUCCAACAUCACACCUGCCUUCCAGACAGAAAGAAGGAGACCAGCAUGUGCCA